UACGUAGGGUGCAAGCGUUGUUCGGAAUCACUGGGCGUAAAGGGCGCGUAGGCGGAUCGAUCAGCUAGGGGUGAAAGCCCAGGGCUCAACCCUGGAAGUGCUUCUAGAACUGUCGGUCUGGAGAUGGUCAGGGGUUGGUAGAAUUCCAGGUGUAGAGGUGAAAUUCGUAGAUAUCUGGAGGAAUACCGGAGGCGAAAGCGGCCAACUGGGACCAUUCUGACGCUGAGGCGCGAAAGCAUGGGGAGCAAACAGG
rnacentral:rRNA from 1 species